CACAGUGAGACUCCCGAAGGUGCCGCGCAGGUCGCGGAGAAUUGGGAAGCCGGUGCAAGUCCGGCGCUGCCCCCGCAACGGUAAGGAUGGGGGAUACCGCAGAUGGCCACUGGGGCGCGUUGCCCCGGGAAGGCGCGCGUAUCCGCACCCCCGCCAAGCCCGGAAACCAGCCUUUGGGACAAACGUCGA
rnacentral:ncRNA from 1 species